rnacentral:rRNA from 1 species
GAUGAACGCUGGCGGCGUGCUUAACACAUGCAAGUCGAACGGGAAACCUUUUAUUGAAGCUUCGGCAGAUUUAGCUGGUUUCUAGUGGCGGACGGGUGAGUAACGCGUGGGUAACCUGCCUUAUACAGGGGGAUAACAACCAGAAAUGGUUGCUAAUACCGCAUAAGCGCACAGGACCGCAUGGUCUAGUGUGAAAAACUCCGGUGGUAUAAGAUGGACCCGCGUUGGAUUAGCUAGUUGGCAGGGUAACGGCCUACCAAGGCGACGAUCCAUAGCCGGCCUGAGAGGGUGAACGGCCACAUUGGGACUGAGACACGGCCCAGACUCCUACGGGAGGCAGCAGUGGGGAAUAUUGCACAAUGGGGGAAACCCUGAUGCAGCGACGCCGCGUGAAGGAAGAAGUAUCUCGGUAUGUAAACUUCUAUCAGCAGGGAAGAUAGUGACGGUACCUGACUAAGAAGCCC